AUACGGAGGGUGCAAGCGUUGUUCGGAAUCACUGGGCGUAAAGGGCGCGCAGGCGGUUUGGUAAGUCAGAUGUGAAAGCCCACGGCUCAACCGUGGAAGUGCAUUUGAAACUGCCAGACUUGAGUACCAGAGGGGAAAGUGGAAUUCCCGGUAUAGAGGUGAAAUUCGUAGAUAUCGGGAGGAAUACCGGUGGCGAAGGCGACUUUCUGGCUGGAUACUGACGCUGAGGCGCGAAAGCGUGGGGAGCAAACAGGAUUAGAUACCCUAGUAGUCC
rnacentral:rRNA from 1 species